AAGACGUUGAUAGGCUGGGUGUGUAAGCGUAGCGAUACGUUGAGCUAACCAGUACUAAUGAACCGUGAGGCUUAACCUG
rnacentral:rRNA from 1 species